GACAGAGGUGCCAAGCGUUAGGCGGAAUCACUGGGCUUAAAGCGUGUGUAGGCGGAUUGGUAAGUACCUUGUGAAAUCCCACGGCUUAACCGUGGAACUGCUUGGUAUACUGCUUAUCUUGGGCCACUUAGGGGCUACCGGAACAAACGGUGGAGCGGUGAAAUGCGUAGAUAUCGUUUGGAACGCCAAUGGUGAAAAACAGGUAGCUGGGAGUGUGCCGACGCUGAGACACGAAAGCCAGGGGAGCGAACGGG
rnacentral:rRNA from 1 species